rnacentral:lncRNA from 1 species
CCCCGUUUCGGGCCGAAUCCUUAUAUCGUUGAUAUGUCAAGUCAAUGCACUAUUAUUGUCUUUAUACUGCAAUCUAAAAGAGUACUUUUACAAUUGUUGUUUAGUGUGUAUGUUAUUAUUUGAUUUAAAUAUUGGGAAACUUCCCCCUUUUAUAAAAAGGCCUCAUAUCAUGCAGGCGGAGAAAUGGACAGCACAAUGAAAUGUACAUCUACCUGUUGAAACCUGCAAUCGAUGAUGAACAAGUUUGUUUGAGAAUGAACUAAAAUAUCAACAAUAAGCAUAAAACAUAAUGAUAUAUAGUUCGCAAGCCAAAAAUAUUAACAAGUGAAAUAUGUUUUUUUUCUAGAAAUUGCAAAAGAAAUAAGUUUGAGUCGUUGUAUACUUUGGAAACAAUAACAGGUUGAAUAGGUCGUAUGAAUAAUUAAAUACAAUUUCGG